AUUAUGGAAGCCUUGGAGGGUCACUUUUGAGUUUGGACUUACGGAUGUUUUACUUUUGACUUUCGACUUUUGACUUUUGAUUUGUGACUUACGUCUUAUGACUUUUUGCUAACCCAUUUUACACGUGCUUUAGAAGCUGAAAGCAGCAACUUUGGUUUCAGACACAGCUACUGGACAAAAGGUAACGAGGAUGAAAACCUUGAUGUUGAUCUGUGUCUUCAUCAUUAUACUGUUCGGCAUUACCAAAGCUACCGUGCCAAGAUACCUACCCUAAACAUCUAUAACAAACAAAACUCUGCUGAUAAUAGAGUACUUUCUGGUACGGCAUGGCAUUACGACGUCAUUUAGUACAGUGAAUAGACUUUUUAAACGCUUAAAUUUAAAACGGCGUAAUGGAAUAUAUACUCCUUUUGAGACUGUGUCUGAUGUUAUAAAUAGAGAAAUACAAACAAGUGGGCAAUGCAUAGGAUACCGUACAGUAUGGCGUAGGUUUAUGCUGGAUUACCACAUGUACGUCAAGGGGGACGACGUCAUGGAAAUAAUAACAGAUGGUAUUGAGAUGCGGAAAGCUCAUCGCUUAUGCCGACGCGUAUACUACGCCAAAGGACCAGUUUUAUAUGACAUAUGGACGGUUAAACUUAAACCAUAAGGAUUUUGUAUCCAUGGUGCUGUGAAUGGGUAUAGUAGACAAAUAAUAUGGUUAGAGGUUUCGGACUCAAAUAACAACCCAUACCUUAUUGCAAAAUACUUUUAGAUACCUUUAAUGAACAUUAUCAAGUCCCUCCCACCCAAUACUACGUUGUGGUGUUGGUAUGGAAAACUGCAUUGCUUUACUAUUGCAACAAUACUUCAGACACGAUUCUACAGAUCCGAUUGCUGGUACUUGAAGCAUUGUAGCUGGAAAAAGCACAUCUAACCAACGCAUUGAGAAGUGGCGGUGUACAUUACGACAAAAUGGAAUCCAUAGGUAGAUUAAUUUUUUUCCAAAGACUUACGCGAUGCAUGUGUAUUUAAUGAUCUGGACCCGAUACAAUGUGAGAACUUAAAAUUUUGCUUCAUGGACCUCAUACAAACCGAGUUAGACCGGAUUGCACAUGAAAUAAGGCAACAAACCAGUUCUUCUGUUAUUUGUGGUAAACCUGACACACUGUUUUUUACCAGGUCUGUAUGAAACUCACGAUUUCGGCAAUGCAGUUAACUUAAGAGACGUAUAUAUUUGCAAAGAACAUGUAUUCACACCCAAAAAGACAAUAUGGGGAAUUCGUAGAAUUAGCACCUCUUCUGAAGCCAGAUCUACAGAUGCCAGUGGACGCUGAUUCAGCACUACAACUGUGUACCGAGUUGAACGAUUUAAUUUUGAUAAUAUAUUUAAUAUAAAUACGCUUUGAAACGACUUAUACUGAUUUUUUUCGUGUUAUUGAUAUAUUCUAGGUUACUAUAGGUUAAGUUUAAAAAAAUGAUGUUUUAAAAUCAUAAAGACGAUAGUCUACAAUUUCACUUCAUUAUAUGGUUGUUUUAAGAUAUUGGUUUGUAAAUAUUGAGCAAAUUACAAUAUAUUUGUAAAUAAUCAUUUAAGUUAUAACCACUCUAAUUUGCACUAUAAGGGAUCGUAAAAUUGACAACAUUGUUGAGUAGUAUACCUAAAGGACACCUGUUUGCAAAAUUUAAGCAAAAUUUACCGUACGGAUUUGGAGUUGUAGGCAUUAUAAUGAGUCCGAACAUAUCCAUUAAAAAGGCUUUUUAAAAGAAAUACAUGUAUUGAAAGUCUAAAAAAAUAUCCGUGUCAUCUCAUUUAAACAUGUUUUGCAAGUGUUUGUUUGUUAAGCUGCAAAUAAUAACAUUCUAGUAAUGAACUAUCCAUGUUAAAUGCAUGACUAUUCUUGACACGAUAGAAAUAUGCAUGGAAAUGUUUCUUUACCCCACCCAUUUGAACAUUUUCUAUCAUAUCAUUCUAAAACUAAAAAAAAACCACUAAAAUUACAUUUAGUCAAAGGGCUUGUAUCAAAGUUUGCUAAAAUCUUUCUAGAAGUAUACUGAUUCAUUCUGUGAAAUAUGGAAGGCUUUUACCGGCUAGUUUGUAAUAUAUAAAUCAUUGAAAAUGUUACAUGUCGUAUUUGCUCUUAGAUUUAACAUUAAUUAGGCAAUGAAUAUCUGUUAAAAAAGAUAAUAAUAGAAAACGAGCAUAUUUUUCCAUCUAAAUAUAGCUACAAAAAUACUGAAGAAAAAAUGAAGAAAAAAAAAGUUGGCUCCUAUCGGAUUCGAACCCACAACCAUCUGAUUUCAUGCAACUAAUGUGAAUACUCUUGAAAUGGAGGUAGUGCAUUAGAAUGGUCAUAUCUUAACGGGUCAUUUCUUAAACAGUCUUUGCAUGUAAUUUUUCACGAAAAGCAUACGUGUAGUGGGAAUCUUUAAAUCAAAUCUAAACUCAUUUAUUGUACAAGUUAAUUGUCCUUUUAAAGAUUUCCAACUCAGCAGCCUGUAAAUAUUAAUUUUUAAAGUUUUUACAUCACAAUAUAUGUAUGUGCAAUUUUGUGACUUUUCACGUAAAUACAUGCAGUAUUUCUUUUUGUUUUUGGCAUACGUAUUACGAGAUUAACUGCACUAUAUGAAUCGACUUCUGGUUGUAUCUCUUCUAUCAAGCCCUGGUUACAAAACGGCUGCCCGACAAGGAAUAGAACCUCGGUCUCCCGCGUGACUGGCAGGGACACUUUCCACUAUGCCAAAUGUCACAGGGGGAGAAAGAUCAGCAGCCAUACGGGGAUUCGAACCCGGACCCUCUUACAGGGCUAGUUCUGUCCCGGCCGAGAUUGCACAUCAUCUACCGUGACAUAUAAGUUAUACGUGUAAUUUGAAGUAAGUGUAAUUAGAUUCAAACGUCUUAUUCAUUCGCAACAAAUAGCAACCAUACUUUAUACAAUGUAUUAUGGUAUUUAAAAGGAAUAUAUAUGAUUGUUAUUUCAAAAAUAAUAAUUGAUCAUUGUUAUAAAUGCUGAGUUAUUUUUUCGUUUUUUAGGUUUUGCCUUGUGACUUUUCACUUAUAAUUUAUCACUUUUUACUUAUGACUUUUAUCUUUUGACUUUUUACUUAUAACUUUUGCCAUUAAAUUUUGCUUUUACUCUUUGCCUUGGUAUAAACAUUAGUUUUACUUGAUUUUAGAUUAAUACAAAAUAAAUUUGUGAUACAAUCACCAAACGUAAGGGAGCACAUUAGCCGAGAGUGAUGUUGAAAUCAUAUAAUAUUUACAAGUACAUUAAGCCACCAGCCUCAUUUUUGCAUUAGAAUCCUCAUUUGUUGACAAUUUAUCAUUGUGUUAUUGUAACUUUGUUAUAACCAAAAUAAACUUGUAAUUUACCACCGGAAUAAACAGUAUAUAAAUGUUACAGAGAUUUUUUUUAUCUAUGUAGAGAUAGUGUUCCAUUAAAAUUAUAAGUAAGAGGUUGAAAUGAGCAAAGUAGAAAAAGAAUAGCAAUCACUAUAGAAGUAAACUGUGUGGAACCAGCCAACUCCCUCAACAGACUACCUAAAUAUACCUCUACCGAGAGACCACACUACCAAAGGUUUUUACCUCACGGUCUAGACCGUGACAGGUUGGCAGAGUUAUCAAUAUUUUUUUGGAAUAAAUGCGUUUAAACAGAUAACAACAAACAUUGUGUAUUCUACAAACGUGCUUUAUUUUGUUUAACAAAAUUGUUGUCUUAUAAGAAAACAAAUGUAUUAGAUAUGCAAAAACAAACUGCAUUUGAGCUUCAUUAUAUUUAGUUUAAAAAAAGAGAUAAGAAAUACAGAGGUAAGCAUAUUGUUUCUAAAAUAGCACAUAUGCCUUACUUAAAAGCUAACACUAAGGAACAGCUAAAAAUAAACACUGCCAUCAACAAAAACUUCAAGUAUUUACGUCACAGAAGACAUAUAUACAUGCAAUAUUUCUACAAAACAACACAUUGUUGAUUACGUUACUGAUGGAAAACUAAGAAAUCAUUAGUGUUCUAACGAAGCUUUUGAAAACAUAAGAUAAAUUAGGUAAACUAGCAACGCUAGAGUGACUGUAUUAUUAUUGAAGUCAAGAUUUUUAAAAUCAUUGUCAAAGCGUUAUUUCUUCAUUUCGAAAUGUUCAGAAGAGAGAAAAAGAAAAAACAAACACAGUCUCUAGCUAAAAAUUUCCUAGUUAACUUUAAGAAACUGUAAACAUUGUAUAAUGUAUAUAUUAAAUAACGUCCACAAGUUUUUUUUUUUUCGAAGAAUGACCGACUUUAUAUGUAAUUGAAAUCUCAUAGUAUUUCGCAAUGAGCAUACCCCAACCCACAGCAUGUCGAGAAAGGGAAUGUUUAACUUAGGAGAAUGAUUAAAUGUUAUAAUCAAAAGUUUUGUAAACAACACAAUGAACUCUGUCUCGGCGAGACAUAUCUGCCAGUAAAUUCAAGUUGAUGCCUUCAACAGUUUUUGAGAUAAUUAUGAGUUUAACAAAUUCUAAGUAUAUAUAUAUAUA